rnacentral:rRNA from 1 species
AUUGAACGCUGGCGGCAGGCCUAACACAUGCAAGUCGAGCGCGAAAGUUCUUCGGAAUGAGUAAAGCGGCGGACGGGUGAGUAAUACAUGGGAAUCUGCCUGGUAGUGGGGGACAACGUUUCGAAAGGAACGCUAAUACCGCAUACGCCCUACGGGGAAGGGGGGAGUCUUCGGACCUCUCGCUAUCAGAUGAGCCCAUG